rnacentral:rRNA from 1 species
AACGAACGCUGGCGGCAUGCCUAACACAUGCAAGUCGAACGAAUGGUUUCGGCCAUUAGUGGCGCACGGGUGAGUAACGCGUGGGAAUCUGCCCAGCAGUGGGGGAUAACCUCUGGAAACGGAGGCUAAUACCGCAUACGCCCCUCGGGGGAAAGGCUUGCUGCUGCUGGAGGAGCCCGCGUCGGAUUAGGUAGUUGGUGGGGUAACGGCCUACCAAGCCUGUGAUCCGUAGCUGGUCUGAGAGGAUGAUCAGCCACACUGGGACUGAGACACGGCCCAGACUCCUACGGGAGGCAGCAGUGGGGAAUAUUGGACAAUGGGCGCAAGCCUGAUCCAGCAAUGCCGCGUGAGUGAUGAAGGCCU